AAAAAAAAGUAGAAAACCUGCGAAACGACGAGCUGUUGGCCUUGAAGAAAAGAGAAACUUUAGGUGACUCGUUGGUUGGCAGAACCACCGAUGGCGGUGAUAGAUGAACCAAAACCAGCGGCGAUGAAAACGGAAAGCUCGCUAUUGUGCAGGGAAUCAGUGGCGGAAGAACAAACGCCCGUGUGGUGAGUGUUGAUGGCGAUGAUCAAAGCAGAAAAGGAAGAAACAGAAAUAAAAGCUCUCAACAAGACAAAGAAUGUAAGAGUGUUGGAUCAGUUAGUGUGCACAAGAAGAAGAGGAAUUAGCGUGAAUACAAUAACAGAGGGAAGUGCUGAUACCAAUUGAUGGAACUCACAUAAUAAACUUUCAUUUUUCUGUUUGAAACUUUUCUUACGAGCAUUGUGAUUAGAACUAAUCACAAUAAUAUAUAGAACGAAUGAUCAAAACAGCAGGGUUGGCUCCUAGACUUCUCUAUUUUGAGGUAAUUCAAAAAUUCAUAUUGGUAAUGUUAUUUAGGCAGAUUAAUUUAUAAAUAUAGCUAAAUUGGUCUUUAAUUUAAAUUAGAUCACCUGCAUAUGAUAGAGGUAAAAGUUGAGAAUGUUUACAGAGUAAGUAGCAGAUGUAUCUCUAAGACCAUAAUAUAAUUGGAGCCUUGGUUAUCCAGUCAUAUAUAUAGGUGUCAUCACUAUGUAUGGUUUGUAGUUAUUUUCCAGUUCCUACAAAAGUUAGCUUUGGUAUAGUGGUUGUACUGAAGUAGAACCUAUUGAGUUCUAUAGUGCUUGAGUGUCGAGAUAUUUCCUAUUACGUAUUCCUGAUCAAUUCUGCAUUUUUUUGGGGUAGAAUUCCUAUAUAAUGUUUGGUGGAAUGUCAAAAUUUAAAUCUCAUUGUUUUGAAUGAAUAUGUAUGUAGCUAUGUUAAUCAUGCAGACUUGACCCUUUCACUCAUGUAACUUUCUCUUUUGCAUAGAAAUUUGGUUUUCUUUUGGAUAAUUGAUUGCUUUUUUAAUUUACU